rnacentral:rRNA from 1 species
UACGGGGGGUGCAAGCGUUGUCCGGAUUUAUUGGGUUUAAAGGGUGCGUAGGCGGCCUAUUAAGUCGGCGUUAAAAUACAGCAGCUUAACUGUUGAACUGGCACCGAUACUGAUGGGCUUGAGUGUAGUUGAGGAAGGCGGAAUUUAUGGUGUAGCGGUGAAAUGCAUAGAUACCAUAAAGAACACCGAUAGCGAAGGCAGCUUUCCAAGCUACUACUGACGCUGAGGCACGAAAGCGUGGGGAGCAAACAGG